rnacentral:rRNA from 1 species
ACGCACGCUGGCGGCGUGCUUAACACAUGCAAGUCGAACGGAAAGGCCCUGCUUUUGUGGGGUGCUCGAGUGGCGAACGGGUGAGUAACACGUGAGUAACCUGCCCUUGACUUUGGGAUAACUUCAGGAAACUGGGGCUAAUACCGGAUAGGAGCUCCUGCUGCAUGGUGGGGGUUGGAAAGUUUCGGCGGUUGGGGAUGGACUCGCGGCUUAUCAGCUUGUUGGUGGGGGAGUGGCUUACCAAGGCUUUGACGGGUAGCCGGCCUGAGAGGGUGACCGGCCACAUUGGGACUGAGAUACGGCCCAGACUCCUACGGGAGGCAGCAGUGGGGAAUAUUGCACAAUGGGCGGAAGCCUGAUGCAGCAACGCCGCGUGCGGGAUGACGGCCUUCGGGUUGUAAACCGCUUUCGCCUGUGACGAAGCGUGAGUGACGGUAAUGGGUAAAGAAGCACCGGCUAACUACGUG